CGCAGCCGCGGUAAUUCCAGCUCCAAUAGCGUAUAUUAAAGUUGUUGCAGUUAAAAAGCUCGUAGUUGAAUUUCGGGAUCAAUACGUCGGUCGUGCUUCGGUACGUACUGGCGUCAUUGAUUUCUUCCUUCUGACGAACCAUGAUGUCAUUAACUUGGUGUCAUGGGAAAUCAGGACUGUUACUUUGAAAAAAUUAGAGUGUUUAAAGCAGGCUCACGCUUGAAUACAUUAGCAUGGAAUAAUGAAAUAGGACGUUCGAUCCUAUUUUGUUGGUUUUUAGGAUCAACGUAAUGAUUAAUAGGGAUAGUUGGGGCAUUAGUAUUCAAUUGUCAGAGGUGAAAUUCUUGGAUUUAUUGAAGACUAACUACUGCGAAAGCAUUUGCCAAGGAUGUUUUCAUUAAUCAAGAACGAAAGUUAGGGGAUCGAAGACGAUCAGAUACCGUCGUAGUCUUAACCAUAAACUAUGCCGACUAGGGAUCGGAUGAUGUUAAUUUUUUAAUGACUCAUUCGGCGCCUUACG
rnacentral:rRNA from 1 species